GAAAUGCGAUAAGUAGUGUGAAUUGCAGAAUUCAGUGAAUCAUCGAAUCUUUGAACGCACAUUGCGCCCUUUGGUAUUCCAAAGGGCAUGCCUGUUCGAGCGUCAUUUGUACCCUCAAGCUUUGCUUGGUGUUGGGCGUCUUGUCUCUAGCUUUGCUGGAGACUCGCCUUAAAGUAAUUGGCAGCCGGCCUACUGGUUUCGGAGCGCAGCACAAGUCGCACUCUCUAUCAGCAAAGGUCUAGCAUCCAUUAAGCCUUUUUUUCAACUUUUGACCUCGGAUCAGGUAGGAAUACCCGCUGAACUUAAGC
rnacentral:misc_RNA from 1 species